rnacentral:rRNA from 1 species
GAAUUGAUUUAAAGAAAUUAUUUAUUUUUAUUAUAUAUUUAUAUUAAUUAAAGUAUUAUUAUUUUUAUUAUUAUAAUAGAAAAAAUUUUAUUUAUUAUAGUUUACUAGUACUGAGAAGGAAUUUAGAUAAAAGAUUAAAAGAAAAAUAUUUUUGUACCUUGUGCAUCAGGGUUUAUUAAAUAAAUUAUAAUUAUUUAUUUUUUUCGAAUUUAAAAGGGCUAAAUUAAUAUAUAUAUUAUUGUUUUAUAAAUAUUUAAAAUAUUAAUUUAGUAAUGAAAUGUUAUUCGUUUUUAAAUAUAUCUAAUUUUUUAAGAAAAAAAUUCAAUUUUAUUGUUAAUUUUAAAUUAUUUUAUUAAAAAUAUUUUUAACUUAACUUUAAAUAAUUUAAGGGAUAAGCUUUAAGUUAAAUUUUUAUAAUUUAUUUAAAUAUUACUAAAAUAAUUUAUAGGAUUAAAAAUUUCUAUUAUUAAAAAUUUAUUGAAAUUUGUUAUUUUAAAUUAAUAUUUAUAUUAAAUUUAAUUUUUUUAUUAAAAUUAAAAAAUUAAUUUUUUAUUUUUUGUAAUUAUGAUAUAAUUAGUAUUUAUUAUUUUAUUAAAUUUUAUUUUUUAAAGUAAGGUUAGAUAAAGGAAUUCGGCAAAUACAUUUUUCACCUGUUUAUUAAAAACAUCUCUUUUUGAUAAUAAUUUAAAGUAGGGCCUGCCCACUGAGUAUUUGGAAGGGCCGCAGUAUUUUGACUGUGCAAAGGUAGCAUAAUCAUUAGUUUUUUAAUUGAAAGCUUGUAUGAAUGGUUUGAUGAGAAAAUAGCUUUCUAUAUCUAAAUUUUAAAUAAUUUUAUUUUUAAGUUAAAAAGCUUAAAUUUUUUUAAUAGACGAGAAGACCCUAUAGAGUUUUAUUUUUGAUAAAGUUUAAAUUUUUGGAAUUAAUAUAUUUUAAUUUUUAAGAAAAUUUGAUUGGGGUGAUUAAAAAAUUAAAUUAACUUUUUUUAUAUAAUUACAUAGAUUUAUGAAUUUUUGAUCCUUUAAAAAGAUUAAAAGAUUAAAUUACCUUAGGGAUAACAGCGUUAUUUUUUUUUAGAGUUCAAAAUCGAAAAAAGAGAUUGCGACCUCGAUGUUGGAUUAAAGUUAAUUUUAGGUGCAGAAGCUUAAAUAUUUGGUCUGUUCGACCAUUGAAACUUUACAUGAUCUGAGUUUAAACCGGUGUGAGCCAGGUUGGUUUCUAUCUUUAAAUAGUUUAUAAAUUUUAGUACGAAAGGACCAUAUUUAUAAUUAAUAAUUUAUAUUUUGAAUUAUAUUAAU